rnacentral:rRNA from 1 species
GGUUAAGCGAACAAGCGUACACGGUGGAUGCCCUGGCAGUCAGAGGCGAUGAAGGACGUGCUAAUCUGCGAAAAGCGCCGGUAAGGUGAUAUGAACCGUUAUAACCGGCGAUGUCCGAAUGGGGAAACCCGGUGCACUUCGGUGCAUCAUCGUUAGCUGAAUACAUAGGCUAACGAGGCGAACCGGGGGAACUGAAACAUCUAAGUACCCCGAGGAAAAGAAAUCAACCGAGAUUCCCCCAGUAGCGGCGAGCGAACGGGGAACAGCCCAGAGCCUGAAUCAGCUUGUGUGUCAGUGGAACGGUCUGGAAAGGCCGGCGAUACAGGGUGACAGCCCCGUACACGAAGGCACACAGGCUGUGAGCUCGAUGAGUAGGGCGGGACACGUGAUAUCCUGUCUGAAGAUGGGGGGACCAUCCUCCAAGGCUAAAUACUCCUGACUGACCGAUAGUGAACCAGUACCGUGAGGGAAAGGCGAAAAGAACCCCGGCGAGGGGAGUGAAACAGAACCUGAAACCGUGUACGUACAAGCAGUGGGAGCCUUCGUAAGAGGGUGACUGCGUACCUUUUGUAUAAUGGGUCAGCGACUUAUAUUCUGUAGCAAGGUUAACCGUAUAGGGGAGCCGAAGGGAAACCGAGUCUUAACCGGGCGUUAAGUUGCAGGGUAUAGACCCGAAACCCGGUGAUCUAGCCAUGGGCAGGUUGAAGGUUGGGUAACACUAACUGGAGGACCGAACCGACUAAUGUUGAAAAAUUAGCGGAUGACCUGUGGCUGGGGGUGAAAGGCCAAUCAAACCGGGAGAUAGCUGGUUCUCCCCGAAAGCUAUUUAGGUAGCGCCUCGUGAACUCAUCUCCGGGGGUAGAGCACUGUUUCGGCUAGGGGGCCAUCCCGGCUUACCAACCCGAUGCAAACUGCGAAUACCGGAGAAUGUUAUCACGGGAGACACACGGCGGGUGCUAACGUCCGUCGUGAAGAGGGAAACAACCCAGACCGCCAGCUA